AAUAUUGCACAAUGGGGGAAACCCUGAUGCAGCGACGCCGCGUGAGCGAAGAAGGCCUUCGGGUCGUAAAGCUCUGUCCUACGGGAAGAAACGGACGGUACCCUAGGAGGAAGCCCCGGCUAACUACGUGCCAGCAGCCGCGGUAAUACGGAGGGGGCGAGCGUGAUCCGGAAUUACUGGGCGUAAAGGGUGCGUAGGCGGGCUUUUAAGGAAGAUGUGAAAGGCUACGGCUUAACGGGAGUGAGCAUUUGAAACUAAAAGGCUUGAGUGAAGGAGAGGAGAGUGGAAUUCCUAGUGUAGCGGUGAAAGGCGUAGAUAUUAGGAGGAACACCAGUGGCGAAGGCGACUCUCUGGACUGCAACUGACGCUGAGGCACGAAAGCGUGGGGAGCGAAC
rnacentral:rRNA from 1 species